rnacentral:rRNA from 1 species
GUAGGGUCCAAGCGUUAAUCGGAGUUACUGGGCGUAAAGCGUGCGCAGGCGGUUGUGCAAGACCGAUGUGAAAUCCCCGGGCUUAACCUGGGAAUUGCAUUGGUGACUGCACGGCUAGAGUGUGUCAGAGGGGGGUAGAAUUCCACGUGUAGCAGUGAAAUGCGUAGAGAUGUGGAGGAAUACCGAUGGCGAAGGCAGCCCCCUGGGAUAACACUGACGCUCAUGCACGAAAGCGUGGGGGGAGCAAACAGGAUUAGAUACCCUGGUAGUCCACGCCCCUAAACGAUGUCAACUAGUUGUUGGGGAUUCAUUUCCUUAGUAACGUAGCUAACGCGUGAAGUUGACCGCCUGGGAGUACGGUCGCAAGAUUA